rfam:Oryza sativa (indica cultivar-group) chromosome 6, whole genome shotgun sequence.
UUUAAGUGCAAGCAUAAGUUUUCACGUCCAACUUUAAUCGUCUGUCUUAUUUAAAUUUUUUUUAUAAUUAGUAUUUUUAUUGUUAUGAAAAAAUAAAAUAUGAAUAGUACUUUACUCGUGACUUGUGUUUUUAAAUGUUUUCAAAAAUUUUUUAAAUAAGAUGAACGAUCAAAGUUAGACACGAAAAUCAUGGCUACACUUAAU